AAAAUAAAAAUAAAAAAUUUUUGGAUCUUAUUUCACAUUUUUUUCCUCCAUGCUUAUAGAAAUACCUAUUUUUCAUGUAGACCAAAAGCAAAGGUUAAAAAAAAAAUCUACGUUUUUGUGAACAUGUGCAAGGUUUGUCAGAGGAGAGAUAUAAAUAUAACAAAGGAAUCUUUUCAGGAAAUGUGUUUUAUUUAUUGUUUGUGUCUUAUUUUUUUCUCCCCCACGAGUCCUUUUGAGCCAACUGAGCUCAUUGUGAAAGUUUUGUAAACUCUGAUGAUGUAUCUUAAACUUCACAGCCAGAUUUCUAGGCUCAUCUGCAGUGCCACUUAACGUCAUAAGGUAGAGAUGUCAGUGUGGGUAUAAGACAAAGCCUGAAAAACUCGGAGACUUUGGUAAAUCGCACUAACUCAAAACAUUUUUUUCCUGAGGGUUUAGGUUAUUGAUUCCUUUUUUAUUUCCCUAAGCUAAAUAAAAGAGAACAGGGGAGAGAAGGCAGUGUUAGAUAACUGAUGUUAUGGUCUCUUGAAAUAGUUUAUAUCAUAAGGAUAUUUGGGUUUUUUCCUAUUCAAGUAUAUGGUUUUUUCCUAUUCAUCCAAACACUAGCAUAGGUAAGAGAGGAUACGUAUUCACGCAUAUUCACAAUACAUACAUAUUCACAAAUUUAUUUUUUUUAAAGGAUUCUAGUAGAUUUUUGGUUCUGAAAAUGUCUCAGCCCAGUUUUCAAAUAUUUGGACUUAAAUGAUAACACUAAUUAGUGCUUAUCUGUACAUCCUUUGUGUUUUAAAAACGUUGCAUAACCUGACAUGUAUAUUUAAUUUUCCAAAAUAUUUUCCCUAGAGAGCAUUCGUAUAUUUUUAGACCUUGGGAGGAACUGGAGAUUUCAACUCUUCUCAUCCGGAGGCUUCCCUUGUUGGGGAGACAUUGAAACAAAACUGCAGAACCAGGAUUUGAAUGCUAGUCUUCUGAUCAAAAAUUAGGGACAGGAUACUGUUUUGAAUGUUGUUGAUAGUUUUCUCUCAAGAUCCAGCCCGACAUGAUGUCUUAUUUUUAGGCCAAAUGACUCUCUACCCCGAAGUGUCAGGUUGUAAUCGGUGUAUAUGCCAAGCGGUGAGUACACUGGAAUCAGAAAAUCCAGUGUGCCUAAGUGCCGAGUUACUGGACUACGGAGCCACAUGUUCUGAACUCAAGACGCUAGUUUUAGUGCUUCUGUGUUUUUUGGAAGGAUUGGGUGGUAACGUUUUAGGUGAGGUGUUCUCGUAAUUCUAAUACAGACAGGGGGCAGAGCACCCAGAAAAUAUUUCACCUGGUAGUGACAUGAGUCUGGCAUUAAGUGAGUUCCCAUUCCUGCCCCCUUCCAAAGUAAGCCAAGCCUGCGUUGGCGCAUAGAGAGUGUGGGGAGAAGAGUCCAUGGCAGAGAGUCGAGAGAGGAGAGGACAGGAGGGAAGGCAGCUGAGAAGGAGUGAAAAGGCCUGUGCACCUGGACCCAUUAUCUGCAUCCACCUUCUCCACGUUUAGCUUUGCAGCAGGAGCCGUGGUGGUGAGGAAGAGUUUGGGGUGAGGAGAAUGGCUUCCUCUCCGAAGCCGUUCCUGAUUACACUACAUGUCUUCUACUAGGUUCUAUUCUAGGAGGCCGACUGAUCUGUGGAGUUCUGGAAUCACAAUGUAGUAUAAGAAGAGGAGUCCUGGACUUGGUCCGGGAAACUCAGACUUCUGGUCCUCCCAGUCCUGCCAUCCAGUGGUGGCGUGGUCAGCACCAGCACCAGUGCCUCGCUGGGCUUCCUGUCCCUAGCUGUAAGGUGUAGAGGUUGGGCAGAGGUUGUGAACUGGUGGCUGACAGAUGUGUUUGUUUGGGCUCAGGAAAUAUUUUAAACACACUUGAAUUGGUUGCCAAUAUUUAAAAAUUGGGAAAGUCACUCAAAAGUUCUAAUUUUCAGUUCUUCUAGAGAACUCAGAAGAUCUGACUUCCCUGGCCUACAUGGCUCCACAAAAAGAGGAAAUUUCUCUGGAUCCCUGACAGAAGGAUCAGCCAACCUCCUUCCUCUGCAUGGUCUGUGUAGACAUCGAUGUGUGUGACCCCUAGUCCUCUCCAGGACUCCUUCCUUAUUAUAGAGCCUCUAGCUCUCUGCUUCUAAAUCUGACAUGCCUCACUGUACAGUGUACACUGAAUCCUUAGUGGCUUCUACAUCCAUGGUAGAAUUGUCUGUAUAAUCAGCAUCAGAUAAAAGUUGGAAGAUUUAAAUAAGUCAGCCCUAUUUGGAAUAAACUCUUACUUUGAAAUCUGAUGAUGGAGGCAGGUAGAGCUCAGAAAAUGUGGCCUUAAAGCUAGACACAGGAAAGGUUUGCCCUCUAACCAUUGUCUACCCAGCAAACUCUCUAACUACUUUGUAAAUUAUCCCAAAUUCAUUCUUUAACGCUAAAGCAAAUAAUAUAGGCUCCUUCAGUUAACAUAGUAUUUUCCCACAUUUCCCACUAAACCAACAUCUCUGAUCUUCUUUCUGAAUAUUGGGCUCAUGAACUUUUUCUGUUCACAUAAUUGCAAGGAAGUUAUGUAGGCUUAGGAACCAUUUGGUCCUAUUCAAAAGUAAAGAAAUAUCCUUGAUUUAGAAAGUCAUAUUUUUAUAAACAAUUUUCCCAGAUAUAUCCAGUUUGAACACAAAAGAUAACAUUUGUAACUAAUGGUUAUAGAGUGUUUCAUAUUGUCCAAGGUGCUUUGGCAGAAAUAUCUCAUUUGAUCUUCACAAAAAUUCUAGCAGGAGAAAGAGAGGAUAUUUAACACAAACAGAGUCCAGAUUCGGAGAAAUCAGAUGACUUUUGGAAAAUUGGCCUACUGUUUUAAUAUGUGAAAGACCCAGUAUUCAAGCCUAUAGAUUCCAGCUCAACAUUCAGUGCUUUCCGUGUUAUAGCUGUAUUUCUAAGAUGGAUGGUUGGAUGGACGGAUGGAUGGAUGGAUGGGUGACUGGAUGCAUAGGUAGGUAGAUAAUCUUACCUAAACAAUGAUUUCUUUCCCCUCAUGAAUGAGCAGAAUUGUCUCAAUGUUUCCUAAGUUGGAUGAAAAAUCUUUUUGGUAGCUAUUCUUAAGUGAAUCGUGGAUUUUCAUUAAAGGAAACUAGUACGUAAAAAAGCACAAUUCAUAAGCAGGGUAGGGAAUAAUUUAAGAUCAAAGUUUUAGAGUGAAAUAAUCAUACAGAGUAAAGAAGGGAGGGAGGAAGGUAGGUAAAAGGUUAUGGAAAUCAGGGGGGUUAACUGUAAAAUAAUGAAGUAGAGGAUAGAAAACGGAGAUUAUGGAAAGAAGAGAAGAAAUAUAAGAAGAAAGACAGGAUAAGAACACUGUGUAGUAAUUUAAGAAGUGAAACCCCUCAGGACAGAGAUAGGGGAGAAAUGGGAAAUUCUAGAGAGGAAGCAACAAUUAGGAAGUGUGGAAGAAAAACCUCUAGGCCAGAAAUCUGAGCAGACUUGAGGAGAGGGGUAGGUGGUUAAAUAAGGAAACAGAAAGGGAUGUUUUUAGGAAUUCAGAAGCUGAAAGGAAAAUAAAUUUUAAUCACGAAACUCUGUGAAGACAGAAUCAACAAGUCUGAAUUACAAGAAAGGAAAUUCACACGGUUAGAAGGAAAGAAUAGAAAUUAGUAAGAGAAGUCUUUGGAUUUCAAGAGGUGGGUAGAGAAAUGAUUAAAAGGAAAGAGGGCACGGUAGUUGGAGGUAGAAAAUGAAAUGACUCUGGAAAGACGUGACUGGGACCACAGCAAAUUGCAAUAAUGUAGAAAAGGGAGACAUCAUGAAGGAACCAGAAAGAGGGAAGGAAAGAGGGAAGGAAGGAACGAAGGAAGGAAAUUAAUUUAAGCCCUUUGGGGAGGGGACCAAGCCCGCAGGGUAACCGAGAUAAAAGUGGCAAGGGGAAAGUAGGAAACAGAGAAGGCGGCGAGGCGGUUAUGGGGCAGAAGGAGGCGUUGUGUUCUUCCAUUGAACCCUGUGGUAUUAGUUUUUCUUUUCCAUAACUGAGGACCCUACUUUAUUUCCCAUAUUCAUAUUCUACCAGGAUGAUCAAUUCACAUGGGAGAGGAAUUUACAAAAAAGAGCCACUUUUUACUUUUUCAAAUUUUCCACAGGUAAGGUAACCCUGAUGUUAAUCUAUCAAUCUGAAGGACACGGCACCAGAGCAAGUGUGGCAUUGGUGCUAGAGGUCAUCAUCAGUCUUGAAACUGAUUUUUUUUUCCCCCAAUAAAUUCAUAAUUCAUAUAAAGUGGGAGUUAUGUCCAUUUAUGGCAAAACAUACUCUAGGUAUUGAUUUAUAUUGCUUUUACUGAAGUUUUUUUAGUUUGACUUAGAGAUUUUUCAUCUACUUUUUAUAGAUUAUAUUUUAUAACAAAAUUGUGUAGCUCCUUCAACAAUUCUUUUUUCUUUCUUUUUUUUUUAGAAAGGGAGAGAUGGUAGGGCGGGUUGGGGGGCGAGAGAGAAUGUCAAGCAGGCUGCACACCCUGUGGGGCUCGAUCCCACAACACUGAGAUCUUGACCUGAGCCAAAAUCAAGAGUUGGACGCUUCACUGACUGAGCCACCCAGGCACUCCACACUCAACAAUUCUUUACCUUGAUAUAUACACUCAUUUUAUCUAGACUCAAAUACAUUCUCGCUCUGAAUGGUCUAAAAGCAUACUCCAUGGGGUUCUAGAAUUUAUUUAGAUGCCUCCUCUCCCCCACCUAUUUCUAGUCUUCCUCUGUAAUUAAAUGAUGUAAAGCCUUUGGCCAUACAAUUUCAUAUCACUGUGAAAAUGGAGUCAAAAAAUCAUAACAGAUAUAAGAAACGGGAGGAAAUUAGUACUUUCAUAAGAACUUAGAGCAAUUCUCUUCAGUACUCUGUUUAAUCUUUUUUCCUUCUUGCUUUACUUCUUCCCUCUUCCUUUCUUAUCUUUCUUCUUUCCCCUCCAUAAUCCCUGGCCCCUUUCUAAGAUCUUCACCUCAAAGAUAGAUGUGCCUGAAAAGAAAAGCAAAAUCACUGGUUGCCGUACUAACAAUUACUUCUGUAUUUGUCAGAACCAGUUUGAAAUAAGAUACAAAAUUCCUAAAAGUAGCUGUCUGAAAAACUUUUUUAGGUCUAGCCAGGAUAUGAAUGGAAACCUCUUCCAUGUCAUGAAAACAUGCUUAUGUACGACCCCUGAAGAAAAGGAAAAAAAUGCCUUAAUAAUGACAAUACCUAUCUCUAAGAGUGGGAAACAUAGCUAAGUGGCUUUUGGAACACUUACUGGACUUGUUUAUUUAUUUAUUUUUUUUAACCUUUAGCAUAUGGAGAAAAUAGAGAUGACAGACAGGUAGCUGAAUGCGACACAGGAUGGCAAACGAUUCUUGACUCUCAGGAUAGAAAGAAUUUAUAAGACACGGAUCGUAAUACAGUUAAGUUCAGGACUGCAGACAGUGGGGGUGGGGAGGCCAUGUUUUAAGAACAGUCAUUAUCCUUAAACAUCCUCUUAAUGCAAAGUCACUCAUCUCUCCCCACCCACCCCCCUGCUUCCUAGAAUUAAGGAAGGUCCUUCCUUAACUUGGGUUGCUAUGCAGAGAUGUGAAAUCUCAUUGGCUCCGAAUGAUUUUCUGUUUAGUAGCGACUACUGGGAACCCAGCUAAUGUGCAUAUUGAUGUACCCUGUAGCUUCAGAGAUGAUGAAAGAGCAUAUUACUUAUUUCCACAACAACAAAGCUAAGAGAAAUUUGAAAGCAGCCGGUUAUUUUACCUGGGGACUUUCUCCCAGGUGACUGGGUUACAGAGCCACGGAAUUUAAAUAUGGGGGCAGUCCCAUUUUCUGAAAAAGUUUUUCUGGGGAGCCACAAUACCACUCUCAACCCAAUAAUAAUAAUAAUGAAAUAAAAAAAUUAAGAGACUUUUGCUUUCAUUUGCAUACAUUUAGUCAACUCUGCCUAAAAUAUGGAAAAAGACAUUAUUAUGCUCAUUCAGAAUGUAUUUUAUUCGUUGUUUACUAGGCUGGACUGACAUGAUAUGAUUUGUGCUUUGCGGGGUCACAACAAGCUACUAGCAGGACAAUUUGCUGAAUCAAGAGGAUGAUUGUGUCUGGUGCCAGUCAGUCGCAAUUAGGACCAGGAUCAGGGAGGCCCAGGGCUUGUGCAUCGUCUUGGGCUAGCUGCAUAGAAAUCAGCUCACCUGAAACUAAUUGUCACAACAGAGACCUUAUGCAAAUGAGCCCUGGGGUUAGCGUGGGAAAAGAAAAACUGUCGCAAAGAUAGGUGACCUGCUGAGCAGGGGGUCUGUUGCUGGGGAAAUCUUUGUUCAAUGAGUUUAAAAAUGUUUUCAUUGUUCAAAAAAAAAAAAAGCAUACCCACUCACCAAGAGUGUGGCAAACACACUCAUCUAAAAUUCCAAUAAAGUGAAAGCCUGCUUUGGAGCAUGCAAUAAAUUGGUAGUCUAUACUUUAUAAGGGCUAGGGCAGGAAAAUAAUUUCCCUUUUGCAAGGGCCUUUAAAGUUGAGGUGCUGUGGGUUGCAGAGUGGGCCUACCUUGAAAAUUUGCUUGGAAGGUCAGUUCUGCUGUUAUCCUGAUGGGGCUUCUACCUCCUUUUCUAACCACAUUCCAACUGUCCUUGUCCACAGAGCCAUGAGGGGUUCCUGUGAACUAGACAAGAGAGGCCUGUUUCCUAAUUGAACUUCACUUUUUUUUUUUUUUUUUUGAACUUCACUUUUAUCUCAGGUGGAAAAGAAGGGCCAGGAGAGCUCUCCCCACAUGGCAAAAGAAUCUAGGAAACAAUGGGCAGUUUCUCAAACUGUGGUUUCUCAAAUGUUCACAGAAUUAAAUGAAAUGCAAAUGUUGUGAAAUUCCAAGACAGGUUAUAUGGCCCGAGUGACCAUAGAUUGUAGAAAUUUAGCAAAAUAAAACUUAUUUUUAAAUAGUUGACUUCCCUUUUCUAGACCUCUGACAAAAAUAUCUGUAAAUGAGCAAUAUUGUAAUUUAAUCUUACUUACAGCACACCUUUGAAAUAGUCUUCAAAAUGUUCAACUUUAGAAAACUCCAUGAAGAAAAGUCAUUUUAAGGGGCUGGAUUGAAAUUUGGACUUGUAUCUGCUAAGCGAGUUCAGGAAUUACCUCGAUGGCCACCACAAAACCUAAAGAAAGUUAGGCUCAAAAGCAGCACGACUUAAUCACAACUUAAAUUAAAAGGAAAAAAAAAAAAAGAAACCAAACUCUUUUGUCCCUUCACCACUGUCUGAAAUAAUUUCCACAUAUAGGAGACAGUUCACAGUGGGUAUGAAGUGCUCAGCUUUCACUCAUCAAACUUUAAUCGGAACUGCAUUUUAGUUUUUGAAUAAAGAACACUUAAAAAAUUUA